AAACCCCAGUUAGACUGGGAGUUCAGUGUAGCUUAAGCGUUGAGAAACUAUCAAAAAAUCAUCCUUUUUGUAUAAUAUUAUUGUGGUCUGGCAACUACAAAAAUAUUUAACAUAAGGAGGGU
rfam:Peptostreptococcus anaerobius CAG:621 genomic scaffold, scf275